CAGUAGCCACGGGAAUACGAAGGGGGCUAGCGUUGCUCGGAAUUACUGGGCGUAAAGGGAGCGCAGGCGGUUUAGUAAGUCUGAAGUUAAAGGCAUUGGCUCAACCAAUGUAUGCUUUGGAAACUGUUAGACUUGAGUGCAGAAGGGGAGAGUGGAAUUCCAUGUGUAGCGGUGAAAUGCGUAGAUAUAUGGAGGAACACCGGUGGCGAAAGCGGCUCUCUGGUCUGUCACUGACGCUGAGGCUCGAAAGCGUGGGUAGCGAACAGGAUUAGAUACCCGCGUAGUCCCUGUCUCUUAUACA
rnacentral:rRNA from 1 species